rnacentral:rRNA from 1 species
UACGAAGGGGGCGAGCGUUGUUCGGAUUUACUGGGCGUAAAGGGCGCGCAGGCGGCAGAUCAAGUCAGACGUGAAAUCCCCAGGCUUAACCUGGGAAGUGCGCGGAAAACUGGCGAGCUUGAGUGCCGGAGAGGGUCGCGGAAUUCCCGGUGUAGAGGUGAAAUUCGUAGAUAUCGGGAGGAACACCAGUGGCGAAGGCGGCGACCUGGACGGACACUGACGCUGAGACGCGAAAGCGUGGGGAGCAAACAGG